CCCUCCGUGGAAAAAUCGGCUACCGCGUUCGGCUGUUAACCGAAAGGUUGGUGGUUCGAAUCCAUCUGGGGGCG